rnacentral:rRNA from 1 species
GUGUCAGCCGCCGCGGUAAUACAGAGGGUGCGAGCGUUAAUCGGAGUUACUGGGCGUAAAGGGCGCGUAGGCGGCAAUUUAAGUGUGAUGUGAAAGCCCCGGGCUUAACCUGGGAAGCGCAUCGCAGACUGAGUAGCUAGAGUAUAUGAGAGGGUGUCGGAAUUUCCGGUGUAGCGGUGAAAUGCGUAGAGAUCGGAAGGAACGUCGAUGGCGAAGGCAGGCACCUGGCAUAAUACUGACGCUGAGGCGCGAAAGCGUGGGGAGCGAACAGGAUUAGAUACCCUGGUAGUCC